UACGUAGGGCGCAAGCGUUAUCCGGAAUUAUUGGGCGUAAAGAGCUCGUAGGCGGUGUGUCACGUCGGCCGUGAAAACCUGCAGCUUAACUGUGGGCGUGCGGUCGAUACGGGCAUCACUGGAGUUCGGCAGGGGAGACUGGAAUUCCUGGUGUAGCGGUGAAAUGCGCAGAUAUCAGGAGGAACACCGGUGGCAAAGGCGGUUCUCUGGGCAUUACCUGACGGCUGAGGAGCGAAAAGUGUGGGGAGCGAACAGG
rnacentral:rRNA from 1 species